rnacentral:rRNA from 1 species
CCUACGGGUGGCAGCAGUAGGGAAUAUUGGGCAAUGGAGGCAACUCUGACCCAGCCAUGCCGCGUGAAGGAAGACGGUCCUAUGGAUUGUAAACUUCUUUUAUCAUAGAGUAACCUAGGGGACGUGUCCCCUACUGCAAGUAUAUGAUGAAUAAGUAUCGGCUAACUCCGUGCCAGCAGCCGCGGUAAUACGGAGGAUACAAGCGUUAUCCGGAUUUAUUGGGUUUAAAGGGUGCGCAGGCGGAUCGGUAAGUCAGGGGUGAAAAGCUGCUGCUUAACAGCAGUCGUGCCUUUGAUACUGCCGGACUAGAGUGUAAUUGACGUGGUUGGAAUGUGAUGUGUAGCGGUGAAAUGCUUAGAUAUGUCACAGAACGCCGAUCGUGAAGACAGAUCACGAAAUUACUACUGACGCUCAUGCACGAAAGCGUGGGGAUCAAACAGGAUUAGAUACCCGAGUAGUC